rnacentral:rRNA from 1 species
CCUACGGGUGGCUGCAGUGGGGAAUAUUGGACAAUGGGGGCAACCCUGAUCCAGCCAUGCCGCGUGUGUGAAGAAGGCCCUCGGGUUGUAAAGCACUUUCAGUGAGGAAGAACGCCUGGUGGUUAAUACCCAUCAGGAAAGACAUCACUCACAGAAGAAGCACCGGCUAACUCCGUGCCAGCAGCCGCGGUAAUACGGAGGGUGCGAGCGUUAAUCGGAAUUACUGGGCGUAAAGCGCGCGUAGGUGGCUUGAUAAGCCGGUUGUGAAAGCCCCGGGCUCAACCUGGGAACGGCAUCCGGAACUGUCAAGCUAGAGUGCAGGAGAGGAAGGUAGAAGUCCCGGUGUAGCGAUGAAAUGCGUAGAGAUCGGGAGGAAUACCAGUGGCGAAGGCGGCCUUCUGGACUGACACUGACGCUGGGGUGCGAAAGCGUGGGUAGCAAACAGGAUUAGAUACCCGAGUAGUC